UACGGAGGGUGCAAGCGUUGUCCGGAUUUAUUGGGCUUAAAGGGCGCGUAGGCGGCUUUUUAAGUCAGUGGUGAAAUACAGCAGCUCAACUGUUGAGGUGCCAUUGAUACUGAAGAGCUUGAGUACAGAUGAGGUAGGCGGAAUUUAUGGUGUAGCGGUGAAAUGCAUAGAUACCAUAAAGAACACCGAUUGCGAAGGCAGCUUGCUAGGCUGUAACUGACGCUGAGGCACGAAAGCGUGGGGAGCGAACAGG
rnacentral:rRNA from 1 species